rnacentral:tRNA from 1 species
UAAUAAGAAGUAAAUUAUUUACAUUUAGUUUCGACCUAAAAUUUUGAUACUUAUAUCCUUAUUUU